UACGUAGGGGGCAAGCGUUGUCCGGAAUCAUUGGGCGUAAAGAGCGUGUAGGCGGUCCGUUAAGUCGGCUGUGAAAGUCCAAGGCUCAACCUUGGGAUGCCGGUCGAUACUGCCGGGCUAGAGUUCGGAAGAGGCGAGUGGAAUUCCCGGUGUAGCGGUGAAAUGCGCAGAUAUCGGGAGGAACACCUAUGGCGAAGGCAGCUCGCUGGGACGUUACUGACGCUGAGACGCGAAAGCGUGGGGAGCGAACAGG
rnacentral:rRNA from 1 species